rnacentral:tRNA from 1 species
GCUCCCGUAGCCCAAUUGGCAGAGGCAGGCGACUUAAAAUCGCUACAGUCUGGGUUCGACCCCCAGCGGGAGCA